GGGAGUGGUUGGGCUCCUGGUGGGCCCCCGGGACUUCAAAUCCUAGGUGCCGUGCGAACAACACGGUAGGUGGGUUCGAUUCCCAUGCACUCCCGCCA
rnacentral:tRNA from 1 species